rnacentral:rRNA from 1 species
AGUGAACGCUGGCGGUAGGCCUAACACAUGCAAGUCGAACGGCAGCACAGUAAGAGCUUGCUCUUACGGGUGGCGAGUGGCGGACGGGUGAGGAAUACAUCGGAAUCUACUUUUUCGUGGGGGAUAACGUAGGGAAACUUACGCUAAUACCGCAUACGACCUACGGGUGAAAGCAGGGGAUCUUCGGACCUUGCGUGAUUGAAUGAGCCGAUGUCGGAUUAGCUAGUUGGCGGGGUAAAGGCCCACCAAGGCGACGAUCCGUAGCUGGUCUGAGAGGAUGAUCAGCCGCACUGGAACUGAGACACGGUCCAGACUCCUACGGGAGGCAGCAGUGGGGAAUAUUGGACAAUGGGCGCAAGCCUGAUCCAGCCAUACCGCGUGGGUGAAGAAGGCCUUCGGGUUGUAAAGCCCUUUUGUUGGGAAAGAAAAGCAGCGGAUUAAUACCCCGCUGUUCUGACGGUACCCAAAGAGUAAGCACCGGCUAACUUCGUG